rnacentral:rRNA from 1 species
ACGAGUCCUAUGAGGACGAAGUGACUGACACCACGCUUCCAGGAAAAGCCACUAAGCUUCAGCUUAAGAAAAACCGUACCGCAAACCGACACAGGUAGGCAGGGUGAGAAUCCCAAGGCGCUUGAGAGAACUCGGGUGAAGGAACUAGGCAAAAUGGCACCGUAACUUCGGGAGAAGGUGCGCCCUUUGGUGUGGUCACGUGCGUGACUGAGCAUCGAAGGGUCGCAGUAACCUGGCCGCUGCGACUGUUUAUCAAAAACACAGCACUCUGCAAACACGAAAGUGUACGUAUAGGGUGUGACGCCUGCCCGGUGCUGGAAGGUUAAUUGAUGGGGUCAGCCGCAAGGCGAAGCUCUUGAUCGAAGCCCCAGUAAACGGCGGCCGUAACUAUAACGGUCCUAAGGUAGCGAAAUUCCUUGUCGGGUAAGUUCCGACCUGCACGAAUGGCGUAACGACAGCGGCGCUGUCUCCACCCGAGACUCAGUGAAAUUGAAAUCGCUGUGAAGAUGCAGCGUUCCCGCGGCAAGACGGAAAGACCCCGUGAACCUUUACUAUAGCUUUACACUGAACGUUGAGUUCUUCUGUGUAGGAUAGGUGGGAGGCUAUGAAACCAGGACGCUAGUUCUGGUGGAGCCAUCCUUGAAAUACCACCCUGAAGUGCUUGACGUUCUAACCUAGGCCCGUAAUCCGGGUCAGGGACCGUGUAUGGUGGGUAGUUUGACUGGGGCGGCCUCCUCCCAAAGAGUAACGGAGGAGCACGAAGGUACGCUCAGCGCGGUCGGACAUCGCGCACUGUGUGCAAAGGCAUAAGCGUGCUUGACUGCGAGAUCGACGGAUCAAGCAGGUACGAAAGUAGGUCUUAGUGAUCCGGUGGUUCUGUAUGGAAGGGCCAUCGCUCAACGGAUAAAAGGUACUCCGGGGAUAACAGGCUGAUACCGCCCAAGAGUUCAUAUCGACGGCGGUGUUUGGCACCUCGAUGUCGGCUCAUCACAUCCUGGGGCUGUAGCCGGUCCCAAGGGUAUGGCUGUUCGCCAUUUAAAGUGGUACGCGAGCCGGGUUCAGAACGUCGUGAGACAGUUCGGUCCCUAUCUGUCGUGGGCGUUGGAGAUUUGAGGGGGGCUGCUCCUAGUACGAGAGGACCGGAGUGGACGUUCCGCUGGUGUUCGGGUUGUCAUGCCCAUGGCAUUGCCCGGUAGCUACGAACGGAAGUGAUAACCGCUGAAAGCAUCUAAGCGGGAAGCACGCCCCAAGAUGAGAUCUCCCGAGAGCUUGACUCUCCUAAAGGCACCAUCAAGACUAGGUGGUUGAUAGGUCAGGUGUGGAAGCGCAGCAAUGCGUUGAGCUAACUGAUACUAAUGAGCCGUGAGGCUUGACCAA